CUGGAAAACAAUCCUGCCCUGGAAAAGCUGCUGCCUCAUAUCCGUGGCAAUGUGGGUUUUGUGUUCACCAAGGAGGAUCUGACGGAAAUCAGGGAUAUGUUGUUGGGCCAAUACGGUGCCCUCUGCUG